GAUGUGGUGGUUCAGUGGUAGAAUUCUCACCUUCCAUGUGGGAGACUUGGGUUUGAUUCCCGGCCAAAGCA
rnacentral:tRNA from 1 species